rnacentral:rRNA from 1 species
GAUGAACGCUGACCGAAUGCUUAACACAUGCAAGUCAACUUGAAUUUGGGUUUUUAACUUAGGUUUGGGUGGCGGACGGGUGAGUAACGCGUAAAGAACUUGCCUCACAGCUAGGGACAACAUUUGGAAACGAAUGCUAAUACCUAAUAUUAUGAUAAUAGGGCAUCCUAUAAUUAUGAAAGCUAUAAGCGCUGUGAGAGAGCUUUGCGCCCCAUUAGCUAGUUGGAGAGGUAACGGCUCACCAAGGCGAUGAUGGGUAGCCGGCCUGAGAGGGUGAUCGGCCACAAGGGGACUGAGACACGGCCCUUACUCCUACGGGAGGCAGCAGUGGGGAAUAUUGGACAAUGGACCAAGAGUCUGAUCCAGCAAUUCUGUGUGCACGAUGAAGUUUUUCGGAAUGUAAAGUGCUUUCAGUUGGGAAGAAAGAAAUGACGGUACCAACAGAAGAAGUGACGGCUAAAUACGUG